GUCUACGGCCAUACCACCCUGAACGCGCCCAAUCUCGUCUGAUCUCGUAAGCUAAGAAGGGUCGGGCCUGGUUAGUACUUGGAUGGGAAAGGAGCAAAUUUUACUUUAUUUC
rnacentral:rRNA from 1 species